rnacentral:rRNA from 1 species
UACGGGGGGGGCAAGCGUUGUUCGGAAUUACUGGGCGUAAGGGGCUCGUAGGCGGCCAACUAAGUCAGACGUGAAAUCCCUCGGCUUAACCGGGGAACUGCGUCUGAUACUGGAUGGCUAGAGGUUGGGAGAGGGAUGCGGAAUUCCAGGUGUAGCGGUGAAAUGCGUAGAUAUCUGGAGGAACACCGGUGGCGAAGGCGGCAUCCUGGACCAAUUCUGACGCUGAGGAGCGAAAGCCAGGGGAGCAAACGGG